GUCUGUUAGCCUCGAGCUACUAGCUGCCCCUUGUGCUGCCGCCGAAGUGGUGAAACGCGGAGGCGGUGGCUGAACCUUACAUCGGUCAAGUCGUUUUUUUUUUGUAGCUUCGCAUGGUGUGCGGAGAGUCGGAGAACCACCACCCCUUGCGUGUGCUGUGCUCUGCUACCGAAGAAUGCAGCUCAGCCAAAAUGUGGCGCGGACCACGGUGCCCUCGUACUACCACAUCCGCACCAACCUUCCGCAGCGCAAGCCACAGAAUCAAUGGGAGGGCGUAUACUAUUACAGCGGCAUCACGAAGCGCCAACAGCACGUCGUGCUGCUGCAGCGCAAGCGUGAACGGGAGAUGUACCUGUGUCAGUACAACCGUCAUGUCGCCUCCCUCCGCCGACAGUACGCGGCACAUCAUGAGAAGCCGCUUGCGUCGUUACCGGAGCGGCUGAUGUUUGCCACUAAACUGGCGAGCUGCGGCAUGCACAACGAAGCAGCCACCUUUGUGGAUGCAAUGCAUCGCGGCAAAGAGCUACGCGCCAUGGACUACGUCCACCUGAUUAGCUCCCUGCGAGCCAGUGAUCUUGGCACCUGCAUCCUGCACAGCGAGGCGGCCUGUGACCCUGCCUUGACCUUCAAGCUGCUUGGUGACAACGCAGGCGCGGAGCGGGCGACGGAAGCGUACCGGUGGUAUGACAUGGCCAUGUCUGCCCUAGCGCGUGAGUGCGGCAGCCUUCGACCUGAGUCGACCCCUGCCGCGUCUCAGCUAACAAACGCGCUCAUGCGCACCCUCAUGACGUGCGGCUACACGCAUGUGAAAGCCAUUCCUGACGCCGUAUAUGAUCGUAUGGGUGCCCGUGGCAUUAGCCCGACGGCGUCCACGUACGAUCACGUCAUCUUGGCGCUGGCGCUCACAGGAAACGCCGCAGAGGCCGAAGACGUCUUUCGCUUUGUGCGCCACCGUCACGCAGAGCACGUCACCAUUCACGGCUACAACGCUCUGCUGCUCGGCAAUCGCGAGGCAAGGCUCUUCGACCGCUGUGAUGGCUUGUGGCAGGAGCUGGUUGACCGCCGCUGGCCGCGCGCGAAUCCACUGACGGCGGAGCUGUACCUCCGCAGCGUGGUGGACCACUCCUACACCCCCACCUCCGAGGGCUUGCAGCGGUUCGGCAGCGUUCAUGUGGUGGAGAAGAAGAAGGUGCCGAUCGUGCUGACGCAGAUGGACGAGCUCGGCAUCCCGCGCACACACCUCUCCGGCCCGCUGCGUGACGAGGUGGAGGAUGCGCUGCGCAAGUUCUCCAUCUACCGUAACCGCUUCUACGAGUGGGGCCGAGCGGUGAAGCAGUUCGACUUCAUCGAGUUCCGCCGCCGCCACGGAUGGAUGUACGACCUACAUCUCAUGAAGAACACAACCAAGAUGCUGCCGCCCAUCCGUGACCCGUCGCAGCCGGACAACACCAUGGCCAGCGCCGCCAUGGUGGAACUGCCCGCCUUCUUCACGGAGCGCCACCCGUGGGAGCGCAACGCGCUGGAGUCGUUGCUUUCAGUGACGAGGGAGCGUGAGCGCAUGGACGACGUGCGGGCUGGCGACAUCUACUACGAUGAUACCAAGAGCAUCCACGAGCGCAGUAGCACGUGGAUGAACGAGGUGCCGGAGACGCGGUAUGACCAGCUGUACGGAAUCAACCACCCGGAUGUGUCGAAGAUCGGCAUCCGCGCGCAUCUGGAGGUGGAGUAUACAAAUCGGAAGGAGGUCAUGGAGAAGGACGCGGCGCUUGUGCGGAAGUCGAUCCGUCGUGGCCGCCGCCUGCGCCACCGGGUCGAGGUGUCGCGAACGCACCGCAACGAGGGCUCCCUCACAGCGAAGGAGGGCAAGUAGGUCGCUACUGCGUGCGUGUGCGCAUGUCUGUGUCUGUGAGCUGGACUGGGCUGACUGUGAGUAGCUCGGGGGCAGCUAUAGCAGAUUUUGGGCGUAAAUACGUGGUGGUGGUGAUGAGGAGCGGGGAAGGGGACAGUGAGUUUGUGGUGAAAGGGGCGCCGCUGUCCAUCUCUGCCGCUCUGUGUGUGCCUUUGUUGGCGCAGUGGGUGUGAUGAUGAUGAGAUGCUGCGCCCCCGACGUCUCAGUCACGCGAGACGAGAGGACGGAAAGACAGAGUUGGCACGCGCCGGGGGAGGUGCGUUGCCGCGUCCCUCAUGCGGUACUCUCGCCCUCCCUCUCUCCUUUUCGGUUCUCGUGGAUUUACUCACGCUGACGUGUGGGUGGUGUGCGCGUGUCGACGCGGCGGUGGUUGUCUUGCGAAGACACGCUGCCGUUUACACAGGAUACUCAACAACGAACAGCGACGUAAAAGAGGAGAUCACGGCGGUUGCAUGCUUGUGUGUGGGUGUGCGUGGCACAAUCCUUUGUCGCAUGCUUGUCAGCUGCCGGGUAGAGGUGCGAUAGCUGAGAGUGGUGUGCAGUAACCAGAGGAAGAGAUGCGGUGCUGGGGUGGUGGUGGUGGUGGCGAGUGAAGCGCACGCGAAGCGGAAUGCGGUGGCGGAGUGGCGGCCACUUGCAUCGCUGCAGCAUCGGCGCCUUAUCCACACGCACAUUGGUGCGUGUCUCUGAUCUCGGUGCUGCAAAGGCUCUCUGUGCAACGCCCCACAUGACACGCACAUGCGUUGGCAUACGCUCGCACGCACUCAUGACUCUCUCUCCCUGUCACUUCUCCUUCUUCUUGCCUUUUCUCCGCUGUCGGCUGCGUGUGCCCCACUGCAUGCCUGUGCUAUCUUUCCUUUGCUCUUUGGUGACCUGCCGUCUGGGUGCAACGUGCGCGUGUGCGUGGGUUGUGCAUAACAACAACCCUGCACUGCCACGCUGCCGUGCUUGCUUCCACUUUCCUCUUUCUCUCUCCCUCUCGCAUGUGCUGCCUGCACGCCAUGCUGCAG
rnacentral:misc_RNA from 1 species